UGAGGAAUAUUGGUCAAUGGGAGGAAUCCUGAACCAGCCAUGCCGCGUGCAGGACGACGGCUCUACGAGUUGUAAACUGCUUUUGUACCGGGGUAAAAUGCUCUACGAGUGAUGGGUUUUAGAAAGUACGGUACGAAUAAGGAUCGGCUAACUCCGUGCCAGCAGCCGCGGUAAUACGGAGGAUCCGAGCGUUAUCCGGAUUCAUUGGGUUUAAAGGGUGCGUAGGUUGUUUUAUAAGUUAGCGGUGAAAUACCGAUGCUCAACAUCGGGGCUGCCGCUAAUACUGUAGGACUAGAGAUCGGAUGCAGCAGGCGGAAUGUGUAGUGUAGCGGUGAAAUGCAUAGAUAUUACACAGAACACCGAUUGCGAAGGCAGCUUGCUAGGCCGGAUCUGACACUGAUGCACGAAAGCGUGGGGAUCGAACAGGAUUAGAUACCC
rnacentral:rRNA from 1 species